rnacentral:rRNA from 1 species
GACGAACGCUGGCGGCGUGCUUAACACAUGCAAGUCGAGCGGAAAGGCCCCUUUGGGGGUACUCGGGCGGCGAACGGGUGAGUAACACGUGAGUAACCUGCCCCAGGCUUUGGGAUAACCCUCGGAAACGGGGGCUAAUACCGGAUAGGACCUGCUGCCGCCUGGUGGUGGGUGGAAAGUUUUUUCGGCUUGGGAUGGGCUCGCGGCCUAUCAGCUUGUUGGUGGGGUGAUGGCCUACCAAGGCGACGACGGGUAGCCGGCCUGAGAGGGCGACCGGCCACACUGGGACUGAGACAUGGCCCAGACUCCUACGGGAGGCAGCAGUGGGGAAUAUUGCACAAUGGGCGCAAGCCUGAUGCAGCGACGCCGCGUGAGGGAUGACGGCCUUCGGGUUGUAAACCUCUUUCAGCAGGGACGAAGCCUUUUGGGGUGACGGUACCUGCAGAAGAAGCGCCGGCCAACUACGUGCCAGCAGCCGCGGUAA